AUUCAAAAUGCAAAUUUGAAUUUGCUCAUUGUAGUGAACUUGUACGCAUAUUUGAAUGUAACCUUUGAUCAGGCCAUUAUGGUAUGAUUUAUUUAUUUAAGAAUUUACUUUAUACCUUAUAGUAUUUAUUCCUCUCCUCUCUUCUUUUCUUUGUUACUUUCCCACUCUUAAAUAUUCCAAAUAGAUAUUAAAUCUUAAAU
rnacentral:lncRNA from 7 species